GGAGAUUUGACUACAGAAGUAGGAGGUAUGAUGACAGAAGUAAGAGAUUAGAGUGUUGGGGAUGCAAGCCCAGGAAUGAUAAGUAAUACUAAGGAAUCCUGGCAGCCUCUAGAAGCUAGAAGAAGCAAAGAAUAGAUUCUCUCCUGGAGCCUCCAGAAGGAACCAACUGCGCAGGACCCUCCAUACUGUUCUACAUGGAGUUUUCCAGGGAACUGCCAGACAGAGCAAAUAAUGACAGCGCUCUGGAAACAGGGCUUUGGAGGAUCUUCAGCCCCUUUCUGCCACCUCUGGGGGCUGCCAGGCUGCUGGUGUUCAAGUGACUGUGGAACAGUUGGUCUUCAAGGCUGCCAUGAAACCAAGGACGGGGGAAUAGAAACAGAGCAAGUUAAAAUGCCACAAAGCUUAUUGUUUUUUACUGAUGACAGUCAGCUCUUUUUCUUGAAUAAACUAUCUUUAGCCUGUUGCAAGCCUUUGGUUAAUUUCUAGAGCUGUAAAAAAGUUGAUUUUGACAAUGUUUUUGGCCACUGUUGGUGGUAGUAGUGUGGGUUAAUAGAUGUUUCAGGUGAACAAAUGCUAACAGAAUCUGAAAUAGUACGGUUGUCUCCAGAUGGAAUGGACUGUCUUAGAAGAUAAUGAAUUCCCUGAUUUUCAAACAGAAGCUCAACAACACACGGCCAGGGGUAUUAUGGAGGGAUUCUAACAUCAGAAGAAUGGCUGGACUAGAUCAUGAUGUAUUUUAUUAUUAAAAUAUUGGAUUAUUUUAUUAUUAUUAAAUAUCUUAAAUAGCCACAAAGUAGAUAGUCCUGUUAUCUAGAC
rnacentral:lncRNA from 1 species